GUUUUGUCUUCGGUUC
rnacentral:sRNA from 1 species